GAUGAACGCUGGCGGCGUGCCUAAUACAUGCAAGUCGAGCGAACAGAUAAGGAGCUUGCUCCUUUGACGUUAGCGGCGGACGGGUGAGUAACACGUGGAUAACCUACCUAUAAGACUGGGAUAACUUCGGGAAACCGGCGCUAAUACCGGAUAACAUAUUGAACCGCAUGGUUCAAUAGUGAAAGGCGGCUUUGCUGUCACUUAUAGAUGGAUCCGCGCCGUAUUAGCUGGUUGGUAAGGUAACGGCUUACCAAGGCAACGAUACGUAGCCGACCGGAGAGGGUGAUCGGCCACACUGGAACUGAGACACGGUCCAGACUCCUACGGGAGGCAGCAGUAGGGAAUCUUCCGCAAUGGGCGAAAGCCUGACGGAGCAACGCCGCGUGAGUGAUGAAGGUCUUCGGAGCGUAAAACUCUGUUAUCAGGGAAGAACAAAUGUGUAAGUAACUGUGCACAUCUUGACGGUACCUGAUCAGAAAGCCACGGCUAACUACGUG
rnacentral:rRNA from 1 species